CUCAGGAUGAACGCUGGCGGCGUGCCUAAUACAUGCAAGUCGAACGAGUUCUGAUUAUUGAAAGGUGCUUGCAUCUUGAUUUAAUUUUGAACGAGUGGCGGACGGGUGAGUAACACGUGGGUAACCUGCCCUUAAGUGGGGGAUAACAUUUGGAAACAGAUGCUAAUACCGCAUAAAUCCAAGAACCGCAUGGUUCUUGGCUGAAAGAUGGCGUAAGCUAUCGCUUUUGGAUGGACCCGCGGCGUAUUAGCUAGUUGGUGAGGUAACGGCUCACCAAGGCAAUGAUACGUAGCCGAACUGAGAGGUUGAUCGGCCACAUUGGGACUGAGACACGGCCCAAACUCCUACGGGAGGCAGCAGUAGGGAAUCUUCCACAAUGGACGCAAGUCUGAUGGAGCAACGCCGCGUGAGUGAAGAAGGCUUUCGGGUCGUAAAACUCUGUUGUUGGAGAAGAAUGGUCGGCAGAGUAACUGUUGUCGGCGUGACGGUAUCCAACCAGAAAGCCACGGCUAACUACGUGCCAGCAGCCGCGGUAAUACGUAGGUGGCAAGCGUUAUCCGGAUUUAUUGGGCGUAAAGCGAGCGCAGGCGGUUUUUUAAGUCUGAUGUGAAAGCCCUCGGCUUAACCGAGGAAGUGCAUCGGAAACUGGGAAACUUGAGUGCAGAAGAGGACAGUGGAACUCCAUGUGUAGCGGUGAAAUGCGUAGAUAUAUGGAAGAACACCAGUGGCGAAGGCGGCUGUCUGGUCUGUAACUGACGCUGAGGCUCGAAAGCAUGGGUAGCGAACAGGAUUAGAUACCCUGGUAGUCCAUGCCGUAAACGAUGAAUGCUAGGUGUUGGAGGGUUUCCGCCCUUCAGUGCCGCAGCUAACGCAUUAAGCAUUCCGCCUGGGGAGUACGACCGCAAGGUUGAAACUCAAAGGAAUUGACGGGGGCCCGCACAAGCGGUGGAGCAUGUGGUUUAAUUCGAAGCAACGCGAAGAACCUUACCAGGUCUUGACAUCUUUUGAUCACCUGAGAGAUCAGGUUUCCCCUUCGGGGGCAAAAUGACAGGUGGUGCAUGGUUGUCGUCAGCUCGUGUCGUGAGAUGUUGGGUUAAGUCCCGCAACGAGCGCAACCCUUAUGACUAGUUGCCAGCAUUUAGUUGGGCACUCUAGUAAGACUGCCGGUGACAAACCGGAGGAAGGUGGGGAUGACGUCAAAUCAUCAUGCCCCUUAUGACCUGGGCUACACACGUGCUACAAUGGAUGGUACAACGAGUUGCGAGACCGCGAGGUCAAGCUAAUCUCUUAAAGCCAUUCUCAGUUCGGACUGUAGGCUGCAACUCGCCUACACGAAGUCGGAAUCGCUAGUAAUCGCGGAUCAGCACGCCGCGGUGAAUACGUUCCCGGGCCUUGUACACACCGCCCGUCACACCAUGAGAGUUUGUAACACCCGAAGCCGGUGGCGUAACCCUUUUAGGGAGCGAGCCGUCUAAGGUGGGACAAAUGAUUAGGGUGAAGUCGUA
rnacentral:rRNA from 1 species